rnacentral:rRNA from 1 species
AUUGAACGCUGGCGGCAGGCCUAACACAUGCAAGUCGAGCGGAUGAACGGAGCUUUCUCCUGGAUUCAGCGGCGGACGGGUGAGUAAUGCAUAGGAAUCUGCCUGGUAUUGGGGGAUAACGUCCGGAAGCGAGCGCUAAUACCACAUACGUCGUGAUGGUGAAACUGGGGGAUCUUCGGACCUAACGCGAUCUGAUGAGCCUAGGUCGGAUUAGCUAGUUGGUAGGGUAACGGCCUACCAAGGCGACGAUCCGUAACUAGUCUGAGAGGAUGAUCUGUCACACUGGAACUGAGACACGGUCCAGACUCCUACGGGAGGCAGCAGUGGGGAAUCUUGGGCAAUGGGCGAAAGCCUGAUGCAGCCAUGCCGCGUGUGUGAAGAAGGUCUUCGGAUUGUAAAGCACUGUUAGUUGGGAGGAACGGCAGUGAGUUAAUACCUUGCUGUUUUGACGUUACCUACACAAAAAGCACCGGCUAACUUCGUG